AGUUCCGGGGCAAGAGGUUGCCCCUCCGGCCGCGCGAAGCCGCGGUGCGUGCGUCCCGCCCCUACCGGACCCCGCAGAGCCAGCCCCGUCCCAUCCCUACAGGACCCCGCAGGGCCUCCCAGUGACCCCUGCCUAGCCCGCCCCAACCCCACAGGACCCCGCAGGGCCGUCCUACCCCUACAGGACCCCGCCCCGCGGUGACCUGUAGAGCUCGCCCCGCCCCCACAGGACCCCGCAGAGUCUCCCAAUGACACGUAGAGCCCGUCCAGCCCCCACAGGACCACAGAGCCAGCCUCGCUGUCACCGGACCCUGCAGAGGCCCGUCCUGCCCCCAGAGGACCCCGCCCAGCUACUUGGUGACCCCCCAAAGCCACUCUGUACCCCCGCAGGACACCACAGAGCCACUUUGUUCCCUCUAGAACCCCCUGCCAGUCUCUGUACCUCCACAGGACCCCACCAAACCUCUACAUCCCCACAGGACCGCCCUUCAUAGGACCCCGCUGAACCUCUCAGUACCUCCAUACAGUACCUCCAUAGGACCCUGCUCCUCCAUUCCAGGACCCCACAGCGCUGGUCUCUAUGCCCUACCCCCCACCCCAGUCUCAGGGCCUCACCUCCCCAGUUAUUCCCGCUUUUACGGUUUUGGGACCCACUGGGCCUACUCCUCCCCUCUCCAACAUGCAUCUUGUUCUCUCCUCCUGUGUCCCUCCCUCUCAGCACAGACCCCCAGGGGGUGGAGACUGAGGCCUGAGCCUUGGGUGUGGUGAAGCCAGGUCAAGGAGCAAGAUGGUGGAGGGUUGGUGCUAGGAGCCAGGGCUGGAGACAACAGACAGCGGAGGCUUCUGACUGGGAUGCUGAUGUGGAGGGCAGUGGUCACAGGAGUAGUGAGGAGCAUGUUGCUCACAGGGGCCAGCCAUCGGGCAACAGUCUGGUUAGUGGCUGGAAGGUGGCCUAACUUGCUGCCUGCCAUCUACCAAGGGGCCCUGGGAGCCUUGGGGACCCUACCCCACCUGAUCCUGAUCCUUCCCCUAGAGCCUCAGAGGUGAAGACCCACAGCCUGCUGAAGGUCAAGAUGGACAGCAAGCAGCUGUGGGCACAGCAGUCACAGCCCACUCAAGAGCAUAGGCAGCCCUUUCCCCCUGGGGGCCAGUCUAGGACCAGGGGCCAACCGGGUGCCCAGAGCAGUAACCAGCACGGAUUGCAAACGCAGUACUGGGUAAGUAAGAGGAGGCCACCUCUGGAAACCCGGACUUUGCGGGGGCUAGUUGGGGAGGGGAUCAGGCAGGGAAUACAGGGGCCUGAAUGGAGACAGAGGGGCAGUAUGCUCUUUCCCCACCAUCCUGUACCCUUUUUGCCUCUCUAUGCCGGGCAGAGUGGAGGCCCACCCGAGGUCGGGAAGAUGUCCAGUGCCCCUCACUCCUGGCCAAGAGAGUAUCUUGAAUUGGAGGGAGAACAAGCUUCCAGGGCAGGGAUGUGCUUGGUUCCCACAGUAGUGAGAGAGACAGACAGAUCCAGCUGUGCCUGCCCAUGGGCAUUCCCUGAGCCGAGGAAUCCAGACUACCUGUGUGGUUCCGCUUAGGGAAGGUUCAAAGCCAGGCCAGACAGGUCCAUACUUCUGUAAGACAGGAGCUCAAGGGCCUCCCAGGCUGCCAGGUGCUGGUCCUGCAGGCAGACAGUGCAGGCAGCCUUUUGAGUCAUGCAUUUGGGUCUGUGUGUGUCCAGCACGUGUGUCCACUGAAGUCAAGGGGGGGAGUAAGAAGGCUCUCUGAGCUGCCUGCAUGACUGCUCUGUGCCCUCCUGGGUACUUCCUUAUGUGGGACCCAGUACUGGGGCCACUGGGGUGAGGGACCAGCAAGACCCUUUAGCUACUGAGGGACUUGCCUUCUGAUAGGUGGUAUAGCCAGUAGGUACACAGGAGGAGUGGGCCUGGGCUAGCUUUGCACAAACCCCAGGGCCUUGCGGCAGAGAGAGCAGGGACAGGAGGAGACACUGCAGUGUCUUUCACACCUGGGUCCUUCCAGGGUUGCUCCUGUGCAAAGUUCCUUGGCCUCUCCCUUGCUUCUGACUGUGGCCCUGAAAGGCACCCAGACUGCCCUCUCUAACUUUCUGUCCCCUGGACGUAGAAUCUUUUUCUUCCAGAUCUUCCCUUAAUUGGCCUCUUCUCCGGUGUCACCUCCCAGGCUAACUUAAGUCCUUCAUCCUUCCCCUUUCCCAACCUGGGUCUCAAGAGCCACUGCCUCUGCUGUGCCUGACUACAGCCCCCAGUGCCAUGCGUGGUGCCAGAACAUACUCACAAAGAUGAGCAGCCUUGGGCUGACAUCAGGCCAAGGAGGUCUUCCCCAGCACAGGGUCUCCAGACCACCAGCCUAGACCAGUGGGUGAAGCUCCAGCUGUCGCACUUGUGCUUAAUGACAGCUAGUAGAAGGGUGGGGGGCUAGGGGUGGUGGUGGUAGUGCUGUAAGGAAGCUGGGAGCUGCAGGACUGGGACCGGGGUUGGGGGUGCACCAGGGUUACCACUGGGCAGGCCGGGCAGGUGAGUGAGGCAGCAGAAGCCAUACACCUCCCUCUGUCCUCAUGCCAGGGUCUGCCUUUCCUCCCCCGGAGUUGUAAGUGACCAGCCAUGGAGCACCAGACAUGUGAAGUCAGCCCUGUUUGGAAACCAUGUCCUGAUCAGUCUAGAGGCAUUGACUGGAAUCCAUCCACAGAAAGAGGGUUGGGAAGUUAGUAGCCUUUACAGACCCAAUAGCAGGCUCAAGAAGAUAACACACGGGCUGGGCUGGGGCUCAGCGGUAGAGCACCUGCCUGGCAUGUGUGAGGCCCUGGGUUCUGUCCUCAGCACCGCAUACAAAUAAAGGAAUAAAAUAAAAGUCUAUCAACAGCUAAAAAAAUUUUUAAAAAAGAAGGCCAAAAAAAAAAAACAAAAACAAAACUGGCAAAGAAGGCCACUUACAGUAGUACUAGUAGUAAAAUUAAAAAGUGUACAAAACCUUCCUGAGGGUGACUUUUAAAUACUGCCAAAGAAUCACAGAUCCCUGAGGAUGGAGAGAGAGCUCCGUGCUUGGACAGGGGCAUCCGGAAUUAGUGUGUUGCACUAAAAGUACUGGACUUCUGCCUCCUCCUUCAGCUCUGCAGCCUGGCCACAGAAGCACAAAUGGCCAGCAGGGCUUCCACCCUGGCUCCCACCCAGCAGAUGGGAAGGGUGUCCAUACUCCAGGGAAGGGAGGGCAGGAAAGAUGAAAAGGCCACUAUUCACAACAAGGUCUUCUCUACCUAGAAACACCCUCCCCCAGCCAAGGAACAACUCCAUACUCCUGAAUGAAAGAAGGCUUGAGUAGCUGCUAUGGGUGAAACCCUAGUUUCAAUAGCCUGAAAAAAACAGUCAGAAAAGCCUGGGAAGACUCCUGCUCGCUGUGGCAGCACUCGGGCAGCCCUGGCCACAUACCUCUGUGAGGAGCACUGAGUAGCUGAGCAAUACACAGAUACCUCACAAGACGAGAAGUUUUAGGUGUUAAUCUUACUUUAUGCAUGUGUGCAGCCCUGGGGAUUGAACCCCCGGGGUACCACUGAGUUAUAUCCUUAGCCCUUUUAUUUUUUGAGACAGGGUCUCACUAAGUUGCCCAGGCUAG
rnacentral:lncRNA from 1 species